AGGGGUAUAGCCAAGUGGUAAGGCAACGGAUUCUGAUUCCGUCAUUCGUUGGUUCGAGUCCAGCUACCCCUG
rnacentral:tRNA from 1 species